rnacentral:rRNA from 1 species
GACGAACGCUGGCGGCGUGCUUAACACAUGCAAGUCGAACGGAAAGUCCCUGCUUUUGUGGGGUGCUCGAGUGGCGAACGGGUGAGUAACACGUGAGUAACCUGCCCUUGACUUUGGGGUAACUUCAGGAAACUGGGGCUAAUACCGGAUAGGAUCUCCUGCUGCAUGGUGGGGGUGGGAAAGUUUCGGCGGUUGGGGAGGGACUCGCGGCUUAUCAGCUUGUUGGUGGGGUAGUGGCUUACCAAGGCUUUGACGGGUAGCCGGCCUGAGAGGGUGACCGGCCACAUUGGGACUGCGAUACGGCCCAGACUCCUACGGGAGGCAGCAGUGGGGAAUAUUGCACAAUGGGCGGAAGCCUGAUGCAGCAACGCCGCGUGCGGGAUGACGGCCUUCGGGUUGUAAACCGCUUUCGCCUGUGACGAAGCGUGAGUGACGGUAAUGGGUAAAGAAGCACCGGCUAACUACGUG